UCCGGAGGGUGAGUCGGUAAAUGAUGCUAUACCGGAGGAAUUAUGCUCUGUUAGAUACACAUCUUUUGAUGAGGCAGUGAAAAUGGUCAGAUCUUGUGGUAUCAGGGCGGAACUGGCCAAGGCCGAUGUGAAAUCGGCCUUCCGGAUUUUACCGGUUCACCCGGCGGAUUUUAAUUUGCUGGGUUUUCAAUUUCAGGGACGAUAUUAUGUUGAUAGGGCUCUACCAAUGGGCUGUUCAAUUUCAUGCUCUGCUUUUGAGAGAUUUAGUACCUUUGUUGAAUGGAUGAUUCGGCAGAAGAUGGGCUGUGCGUCAACAGCACAUUAUUUGGACGAUUUCCUUUUUUGUGGUAAGGCAAAUUCUGGAAGCUGCCAAAGGUUCUUGGACACAUUUAGAGAAUUAGCAACUGAAUUGGGGCUCCCCUUGGCUGAAGAAAAAACUGAAGGGCCGGCAACGAUCCUUACCUUUUUGGGGAUAGAAUUGGACACGACACAGCAGUAUUCAAGGUUGCCUCAGGAGAAAUUGGUCAACAUUAGGAACAUAGUCAAUAGUCUGAGGGGAAAAAAGAAAGUUACUUUGAAGGAAUUACAACAGGUGGUGGGGCAUUUGAAUUUCGCAUGUAAGGUGGUAGCACCGGGGAGAGCUUUUGUAAGGCGUCUUUCCAGAGCCAUGUCAGGACUGAGGAAACCGUUUCAUAAGACAAGAAUAACCAGGGGCAUGAGAGAUGAUCUAAGGAUAUGGGAGCAGUUUCUAGAUCACUUUAACGGGGUUUCUUUUUGGAGAUCGGACAUUAACCUUCGUGCGGACGUCCAAGUAAAUUCGGACGCGGCUGGUGCUCUAGGAUUUGGAAUUUAUUUUCGUGGUAGGUGGUGUGCAGGGGUAUGGCCUGAAGAAUGGCAUCAGCAGGGGAUUACGAGGGAUUUAACAUUUUUGGAAUUUUUCCCGAUAUUGGGUGCUCUUUGGCUUUGGGCACAGGAAUGGGCCAAUACGGUGGUUCGUUUCUGGUGUGACAAUCAAGCAGUGGUUCAUAUUAUCAAUAACUUGACGUCACGUUCAGAAAGAGUUAUGGAUCUGGUUAGAGCA
rnacentral:lncRNA from 1 species